rnacentral:rRNA from 1 species
AAUAGAUACCCGGGUAGUCCACGCCGUAAACGAUGUCGACUUGGAGGUUGUUCCCUUGAGGAGUGGCUUCCGGAGCUAACGCGUUAAGUCGACCGCCUGGGGAGUACGGCCGCAAGGUUAAAACUCAAAUGAAUUGACGGGGGGCCCGCACAAGCGGUGGAGCAUGUGGUUUAAUUCGAUGCAACGCGAAGAACCUUACCUACUCUUGACAUCCAGAGAACUUAGCAGAGAUGCUUUGGUGCCUUCGGGAACUCUGAGACAGGUGCUGCAUGGCUGUCGUCAGCUCGUGUUGUGAAAUGUUGGGUUAAGUCCCGCAACGAGCGCAACCCUUAUCCUUUGUUGCCAGCGGUUCGGCCGGGAACUCAAAGGAGACUGCCAGUGAUAAACUGGAGGAAGGUGGGGAUGACGUCAAGUCAUCAUGGCCCUUACGAGUAGGGCUACACACGUGCUACAAUGGCGUAUACAAAGAGAAGCGACCUCGCGAGAGCAAGCGGACCUCAUAAAGUACGUCGUAGUCCGGAUUGGAGUCUGC